ACAGAUUGAUGAAGAUGCCAGCUGUCUAGGUACCCCAAAAUACAGACAAACACCAUCCACUGUUAGAUCCAUUGUACGUGGGGUUGCGCCCUGUUUCCUAGCCGCCGAUGCCUGAGCUGCCAAGCUGACCUAUUAGCCAUUGUCCUGUAGUUGUAAAAUGCCGAAGGGCAUUUGCGGAAUUAGGGCAGCGAGAAGAAACUGCCACCAGGUCUCAACUCUUGAUGUGGAAGAUGACUACUCCGAUCAUGCCAGGGUCACCAGGUGGUGUGGCCCUGCAGGCAAAUGUCCAACCUCAAGUAAUGCGUCUAAGUCUACCACAACAGAACCGAGUAGGGUCUUUACGUUCCCUCAUGACCUACCCGGUGAGUGGUCUCAUCCGAGAAUGAAUUUAUUAUGCAGGCAGGAGUGCGGCCAAAACUAGCCGUAUCCUAAGUGAUUCCAGUACUCCAAAAGGACUGUGUAACCCGCGACUGCAGUAAAGAAAGAACUCCCAAAGAACGUCCAAUCAGGGUCCCAAAACUGAACUUAUUUAGUGAAAC